UUUUUUUUGUGGGUGGGGGGGUUGUUGUUAUUUUGUUUGUCGCGCCUGGCUUUCGCAGCGCGUGGCUGGAGCUCUGCGUGGCCUCGUUUUGCCUCCAGCGAUGCGGCCGGGCCAAGAGACAUUUCGGCGUUGAAGUCUCCGGGCUGACCAGAGGAAAGGAGGCAGUUUACUUCUCGCUGGUUUGCUGGCUGGCGGCGGCUCAGUCGGAGCGCACAGUUAUCGAGUCUGUGGGUCCAUCUGGCCAGUGAAAGGAGCGGGUGGCCGCCGGAUCGGCAGGAUGUACACUGCCGGACUCGCUCCCUUUUAUGCUUCCAACUUCAGUCUGUGGUCAGCGGCAUAUUGUACCCCGGCCGGCCCCGGCGCUGGCGCCUGUUUCUCCUUGGAUCCCUCGGGGCUCAAGAAACCGUCUUUCUGCAUCGCGGACAUCUUACACGCCGCCGCAGGAGAAGCCUCUGUGGACGGCCUGCCCGGAGGAACCGCGGCUAAUCUGGCUUCCCAUUUAAGUGGAAUCCAUGCCCAUGCACAGUACCACGGCGCCGCUUCCCCGCUCAGACCAACACCCAUGGUGGCUCCGGACACUUCGGUCGCCUUCGCCUCCAGGCUGUCACCUCUCUCGGCUACCUACCACAACUCUCAUCCUCAGCACCAGCGCUCUCCCACAGGCGGCUCCGGCGGGGGUGCACGAACCCCGGGCGGAGGGCAAAGCCGCCAGACCCACUCCGGCUCUGCAGCCGCUCCCUCUAGCAAAGACUUGAAAUUUGGGAUUGAUCGCAUUUUGUCUGCCGAGUUCGACCCGAAACUGAAGGAGAGCAACACCCUGAGAGAUCUGACCUCUUUAUUAACCGCCAGCCGCCCAAGCGGGAUUCAUGUCCCCACAUUACAGCCUCCGUCCGGCCAGUUCUUCACGUCUCUAGAACCCAUUAACGAGACUUCUGGGGUCCUGGGACCCUUAAACACAACCCCAAGGAAUUCCGUUCAGCACCAGUUUCAAGACACUUUUCCAGGUCCGUAUGCGGUGCUUACGAAAGACACGCUGCCUCAGACCUACAAACGGAAACGCUCGUGGUCCCGGGCGGUUUUUUCUAAUCUCCAAAGAAAAGGAUUGGAGAAACGCUUUGAAAUCCAGAAAUAUGUCACCAAACCGGACAGAAAACAAUUGGCCGCCAUGUUAGGGCUCACAGAUGCUCAAGUGAAAGUCUGGUUCCAGAACCGGCGCAUGAAAUGGCGACAUUCCAAAGAGGCGCAGGCGCAGAAGGACAAAGAGAAAGAACCGGCCGAGAAAGUGGCUGCAGCCGGAGCGGCUCUGGGGCCUGGGCCAGCAGGCGAAGCUGAGCUCGAGCGCAGCCCGAGCCGCUCGGAAGGCGAAAGCGACAGCAGCGAGGCCGAAUCCCUGGAUCUGGAGUUCGGAAGCGACGCGGAACGGACUGAGCCGGGAGCUACCCCUGAUCAGGCCCUGCAGCGGCACAUCUCGGAGCUUCACCCACCUGCCGGUUUGGAGACCGCAGCUCACCCCGAGCCGCCUCCUCCUCUCCCAGGCCUGGAGCAAAGCCGGGAGCCUCUGCGGUGCCCCGAGUCUUCGUUUUGCCUGCGGGACUCUCCGUGAUGGCCUCCCUUCAGCCAAGCUGGGAACCUGCCAAGAGCCCCAGCUCCGAGGGCUCAGCCGGACAGAGGCCUCUUGGAUGCCGGAUACUAACUCCUAGUGUGGGCGUAGCGCUCCAGAAUGGGUUCCGGGGGAAUUGACUUUGAACGGCGGGUAGAGCUGGGCUACCUUCGGAAUCGGGGCCCUGUCCCUAUAUGGAGUGUGCGGGGCGGGGGGCCUCUCCAAAAGACAUGGGGCGGCCCAGAGGUGAUCCUGCAGGCCUCCAGACGGCGCGCCCUGAACGGGUCCACUCAGGUUCACCUCAGUGCAGGAAUUUUCAGAGAGCAGGAAUAGAUGAUGAUGUCACCCAGCUGAC